CAGCAGCCGCGGUAAUACCGGCGGCCCGAGUGGCGGUCACUAUUAUUGGGCUUAAAGCGUCCGUAGCCGGGUUGGGAAGUCCUCCGGGAAAUCUGGCCGCUUAACGGUCAGAAUGCCGGAGGAUACUCCCAGCCUAGGGAGCGGGAGAGGCCGAGGGUAUUCCCGGAGUAGGGGUGAAAUCCUAUAAUCCCGGGAGGACCACCUGUGGGGAAGGCGCUCGGCUGGAACGCGUCCGACGGUGAGGGACGAAGGCCAGGGGAGCAAACCGGAUUAGAUACCCGGGUAGUCCUGGCUGUAAACGAUGCGGACUUUGUGUCGGACAAGCUAUGAGCUUGUCCGGUGCCGGAGGGAAACCGUUAAGUCCGCCGCCUGGGGAGUACGGCCGCAAGGCUGAAACUUAAAGGAAUUGGCGGG
rnacentral:rRNA from 1 species